UACAUAGGUCUCAAGCGUUGUUCGGAUUCAUUGGGCGUAAAGGGUGCGUAGGCGGCGCGGUAAGUCGGGUGUGAAAUCUUGGAGCUUAACUCCGAAACUGCAUUCGAUACUGCCGUGCUUGAGGACUGGAGAGGAGACUGGAAUUUACGGUGUAGCGGUGAAAUGCGUAGAUAUCAUAAGGAAGACCAGUGGCGAAGGCGGGUCUCUGGACAGUUCCUGACGCUGAGGCACGAAGGCCAGGGGAGCAAACGGG
rnacentral:rRNA from 1 species